rnacentral:rRNA from 1 species
GACGAACGCUGGCGGCGUGCCUAAUACAUGCAAGUAGAACGCUGAAGGGAGAGCUUGCUCUUCUGGAUGAGUUGCGAACGGGUGAGUAACGCGUAGGUAACCUGCCUGGUAGCGGGGGAUAACUAUUGGAAACGAUAGCUAAUACCGCAUAAUAGUAGAUGUUGCAUGACAUUUGCUUAAAAGGUGCAAUUGCAUCACUACCAGAUGGACCUACGUUGUAUUAGCUAGUUGGUGGGGUAACGGCUCACCAAGGCGACGAUACAUAGCCGACCUGAGAGGGUGAUCGGCCACACUGGGACUGAGACACGGCCCAGACUCCUACGGGAGGCAGCAGUAGGGAAUCUUCGGCAAUGGACGGAAGUCUGACCGAGCAACGCCGCGUGAGUGAAGAAGGUUUUCGGAUCGUAAAGCUCUGUUGUAAGAGAAGAACGAGUGUGAGAGUGGAAAGUUCACACUGUGACGGUAUCUUACCAGAAAGGGACGGCUAACUACGUGCCAGCAGCCGCGGUAAUACGUAGGUCCCGAGCGUUGUCCGGAUUUAUUGGGCGUAAAGCGAGCGCAGGCGGUUAGAUAAGUCUGAAGUUAAAGGCUGUGGCUUAACCAUAGUACGCUUUGGAAACUGUUUAACUUGAGUGCAAGAGGGGAGAGUGGAAUUCCAUGUGUAGCGGUGAAAUGCGUAGAUAUAUGGAGGAACACCGGUGGCGAAAGCGGCUCUCUGGCUUGUAACUGACGCUGAGGCUCGAAAGCGUGGGGAGCAAACAGG